rnacentral:rRNA from 1 species
GACGAACGCUGGCGGCGUGCUUAACACAUGCAAGUCGAACGGAAAGGCCCUGCUUUUGUGGUGUUCUCGAGUGGCGAACGGGUGAGUAACACGUGAGUAACCUGCCCUUGACUUUGGGAUAACUUCAGGAAACUGGGGCUAAUACCGGAUAGGAGCUCCUGCUGCAUGGUGGGGGUUGGAAAGUUUCGGCGGUUGGGGAUGGACUCGCGGCUUAUCAGCUUGUUGGUUGGGUAGUGGCUUACCAAGGCUUUGACGGAUAGCCGGCCUGAGAGGGUGACCGGCCACAUUGGGACUGAGAUACGGACCAGACUGCUACGGGAGGCAGUAGUGGGGAAUAUGGCACAAUGGGCGGAAGCCUGAUGAAGAAACGCCGCGUGCGGGAUGCCGGCCUUCGGGUUGUAAACCGCUUUAGCCUGUGACGCAGCGUGAGUGACGGUAAUGGGUAAAGAAGCACCGGCUAACUACGUG